rnacentral:sRNA from 1 species
CUGACAGCUCUGGAGACUGAAGUCCUCUGUUUAUCUACAGAAUUGGCAUUGACAGAGCAAGGUUCUUUUAAUGUGCUCAAACUGGGCCCAAGAGAAAUGAGAAGAUGUUUCAGUGUCCAUUAUUAGGUGCCCAUGCUGUCCUCU